GCACGUAAGGGCGUAUGGUGGAUGACUUGGCAGUGAGGAGCCGAAGAAGGACGUGGCAGUCUGCGAAAAGUCUCGGGGAGGUGACUAGCAACCUGUGAUCCGAGAAUCUCCGAAUGGGGUAACCCAUGCCGGUGAAGCCGGCAUGCGGCGCAUGGAAUACAUACGUGCGCGCGCGGGCACCUGGGGAAGUGAAACAUCUCAGUACCCAGAGGAAAAGAGAACAUGAAUGGCUGACAACUUGUCUCGCAGGGUGUCGGAGGCCUGACAAACAGGCCACGGACGACAUCAUGUUGAGACAAGAUGUCAGCUUGAUUCCGUGAGUAGCGGCGAGCGAAAGCGGACGAGCCUAAACAGUAUGCGUGGAUCCAUGAUACCGAGUUGGACGCAAGUUUGACCGCGGAUCAUGGUGAUGAGCUUUGGCUGACGCGUGUAUUGGGUUGUGGACCGGACAUCGGAGCACCAAAGAGCUCCGGAGAUGAGAGCAAUAUCAUAGAUGAAUCGGCUGGAAAGCCGGACCAAAGAAGGUGAUAGUCCCGUCGUCGAAAUGAUGUUGCCCAUCUGUCCGUGAUCCUGAGUACUGCGGGACUCGUGAAAUCCCGUAGGAAGCAGCCGUGACGAUGCGGCAAGGCUAAAUACUCCUCCUGACCGAUAGUGAACAAGUACAGUGAUGGAACGUUGAAAAGCAGCCCGGGAGGGCGAUGAAAUAGUAUCUGAAACCAUACGCUUACAAGGAGUCGGAGUCCCGGUUUACCGGGAUGACGGCGUUCCUAUUGAAGAAUGAGCCAACGAGUGUGCUGUAUGUCGCUGGUUAAUCCGCCGAGGCGGAGAAGCCGCAGCGAAAGCGAGUCUGAAUAGGGCGACUCUAUAGUGGCAUGCACACAACCCGAAACCCGGUGACCUAACCAUGACCAGGAUGAAGGCGGUCGAACAACCGCUGGAGGUCCGAACCCACUCGCCGUGCAACACGAGGGGAUGAGUUGUGGUUAGCGGAGAAAUUCCAAUCGAACUGGGUAAUAGCUGGUUCUCCCUGAAAUAGAUUGUGGUCUAGCGUCAGUACACAGCAAAACGGGGGUAGAGCACUGAAUGGGGGCGGGGGCGCAAGCUUACCGUCUCUAACCAAACUCCGAAUACCGUUUUGCGUUCCUGGCAGUCAGUCUCUGGGGGCUAAGCUCCAGUGGACAAAAGGGAAACAGCCCUAGACCGCAGACUAAGGUCCCUAAAUUCAUGCUCAGUGUAAAAGGUGGUGGGACGGCUUAUACAACCAGGAGGUUGGCUUAGAAGCAGCCAUCCUUUAAAGAAAGCGUAACAGCUCACUGGUCAAGCUAUCCUGCGCCGAAAACUUACCGGGGCUUAAGCAUGAUACCGAAGUCGCGGAUUGCGUUCCGGCUCUGGCCGGAAGCAGUGGUAAGGGAGCGUUCGCAGGGCGAUGAAGCGGAAGGCGUGAGCCGCCGUGGAGCGCUGCGAAGUGAGAAUGUUGGCAUAAGUAGCAAAAAGACGGGUGAGAAUCCCGUCCACCGUAAACCCAAGGUUUCCAGGGCAACGAGAAUCGUCCCUGGGUUAGUCGGUCCUAAGGCGAGGCCGAAAGGCGUAGUCGAUGGAGAGCAGGUGAAUAUUCCUGCACCACCGUAGAGUUUCAAUGGAGUGACGCAUCCUUCAACUUCUCGAGAUUCCUGGAAUGAAUCUUCGGGCACCGAGGGGCGCUGCAUAGGCAAAUCCGUGCAGCAUCCGCCUCGCGGUGAUCGCGAUUCCCGCGCAAGCGGGGAAAGGAGAGGGACUGGGGUGCCGAGAAAACCUUCUAGAGCUAACUCUGCGGUGCCCGUACCGCAAACCGACACAGGUGGGUAGGCAUACGUGUGCUAAGGUGUACGAGAGAACCCACGUUUAGGAACUCGGCAAAACAGCGUCCGUAACUUCGGAAUAAGGACUGCCGCGUAAGGCGCAAGCCUCUACGCGGCCGCAGCGAAAGACGUCAACCGACUGUUUACCAAAAACACAGCUCCCUGCGAAACCGUAAGGUGAUGUAUAGGGGGUGAUGCCUGGCCAGUGUCAGAACGUUAAGCGGAGAGGUCAAUCCUUCGGGAGGCAGCCUUGAAGCCAAGCGCUGAUGAACGCCGGCGAUAACUAUAAUCGUCCUAAGGUAGCGAAAUUCCUUGUCGGGUGAGUUCCGACCCGCACGAAUGGCAUAACGAGUUGACGACUGUCUCAACGUGGGACUCGGUGAAAUUGCAAGUGGGGUGAAGAUGCCCUGUACGCGCAGUCAGACGAAAAGACCCCGUGAAGCUUUACUACAACUUGGUAUUGGCAUCCGGCUUCGCAUGUUCAGAAUAGGUGGGAGCCUUCGGGCAACCGUGAGAUACCACCCUUGCGUUGUCGGAUGUCUUAUCCUCGGCCGUCCAACCGGUCGAAGAGACAGUACCUGGUGGGUAGUUUGACUGGGGCGGUCGCCUCCCAAAAGGUAACGGAGGCGUUCACAAAGGUCGGCUAGGCGCGGAUGGAAAUCGCGUCGAUUCUGCAAAGGGAUAAGCCGGCUUAACUGCAAGGCUCACAAGCCGAGCAGAUGCGAAAGCAGGACUUAGUGAUCCGACCGUACGAUAUCGGACGGCGGAAGCUCAUCGGAUAAAAGCUACUCCGGGGAUAACAGGCUGAUCUCCCCCAAGCGUCCACAGCGACGGGGAGGUUUGGCACCUCGAUGUCGGCUCAUCGCAUCCUGGGGCUGAAGAAGGUCCCAAGGGUUAGGCUGUUCGCCUAUUAAAGCGGUACGCGAGCUGGGUUCAGAACGUCGUGAGACAGUUCGGUCUCCUGUCUACUGCGCGCGUGGAAUCUUGAGGAGGCACUUCCUUAGUACGAGAGGACCGGGAAGUACGAACCUCUCGUUUACCUGCUGUCCCACCAGGGGCACCGCAGGGUAGCGACGUUCGGUUAGGAUAAACGCUGAAAGCAUAUAAGCGUGAAGCCGUCUCCAAGAUUAGGAUUCAUUUGAGGGCCCUCCGAGACGAGGAGGUUGAUAGGCCAGAGGUGUACGGCGCGCGAGCGCUUCAGCCGACUGGUACUAAUAGCCCGAUGCCUCGGCCUU
rnacentral:rRNA from 1 species